UACGUAGGGUGCGAGCGUUAAUCGGAAUUACUGGGCGUAAAGCGUGCGCAGGCGGCUUUGCAAGACAGAUGUGAAAUCCCCGGGCUUAACCUGGGAACUGCAUUUGGGACUGCAAGGCUGGAGUACGGCAGAGGAGACUGGAAUUCCUGGUGUAGCAGUGAAAUGCGUAGAUAUCAGGAGGAAUACCGAUGGCGAAGGCAGGUCUCUGGGCUGAUACUGACGCUCAUGCACGAAAGCGUGGGGAGCAAACAGG
rnacentral:rRNA from 1 species